UGGAACUCUUCUAAUAAUAUUCAAAGAGGUCGGCAAUGGAGAUCAUUGAUCUUUCCGUUUUUCGAAAAAGAAAGUGCGAAAGUGCAAUCACCAAAGGGUAUGCUCGUCAAUUCACACGGUGCUCCCCAUUAGCUACAGCACUUACAGGACUUCUAUAAGAGGAGAAAAGGAGGCACCAUGAUUCCAUGUCUACCCAAAACCCACAAAGCAAACAGGAUUGCAUCAUUCCCUGCCCCAGGCACAGCUUGCCUCUAGCUUGCCUUUAGCUUUGCGCCCAAAAACGAAACAAUCGAGCAAAAGAUGGAUCAAAAUGACAACCUGAUGAAAGUCCAGAAUGUUCACAAAAUCAACAGCAAGAACAGCCACUUCCUCAUGAGGGCUUUGAAAUUUGUCAUCUCGAUCUCUCUGCUGUCCUUCGUUGUGUGUUAUUCCUCAGGAUACUCUUUCUUCCCUCACUCCUUCAACCUCUGCUUCUCCACGAUCCUCUUUCGGAUUUUCACUCGCUCCCUUGAGAGGAAGUUCAUGUUCCUCGUCUGCAACGGGAUCUUAGCUUUUCUUGCCAAGAGCUCCUGCAGUUCUAGCAGCUCUUCGCCAUCAGGGUCUGAUCUUGAUGGUGAUGAUGAAUUGUUCAGGAAAAAAGACAGGUCGGCUUUGGAUGACUUACCCGAGGAUGAGAUCAAAGUUUCAGCUUCUGGAUCAUCAGAAGUUGAAGCUGUGACUGCUGAAGAUGCCGCUACUACUGGGUAUAACGAGUACCAGGAAAAUAAUCUGGUUCUUGCGUCUGGAGAAGAAGAGGGGGAGGAGGACGACGAGAAACUUCAAGUUCAAGGAAAAGAUACAGAGGAAGAAGAUGAAGCUGAGCAACAGGAAGAGCAAAUAUUACAAGAAACUGAAUUUGCCAAUACAGGAGCAGAAGAACAAAAUGAAACUUGGGUCGUGGAAGAUGAUGACAGGCUCAGCAAAGAAGAAGAAGAAGAAGAAGAAGAAGAAGAAGAAGAAGAAGAACUAGAAGAACGUGGCUACAUGGGGAAAGAACCAGAAUCACCAGCAGUUGCUACAGGGAGUGAAGAGAUGAUGAGUACGGAGGAGUUGAAUAAAAAGUUCGAGGAAUUCAUUAGGAAGAUGAAAGAGGAGAUCAGGAUUGAAGCUAAAAGUCAGCUGAUUGCAGUGUGACUGCAAGACAAUCAUGUACAUAACGAGCCAACUAAGCGAAUCCCAUCAAGGGUUUGUCCCUUUUAGGGUGGAUGGCGACGAAGCUCUCAUGUUCAUGACUUCUGUUUUCUUUCGAGGUCAUCAUGUUGUCUUUUUCUCGCACCGUUAGUCCUGUCCUAAGAUCAAAUAGCAGCUAAGUUUAAUAAACAAAAUCUCUAGCCUUUCUUCUUCUACCUCCCUCAAAUUAUAUCGCUCUUGACGUUCAACAGCGAAGAACAAAUUUCUAUGCAUCUUCAUCUUCUCUUUACAGCUCUUCAGCAAGAGUAGAAUCCAAGGAAAAGGAAAGACCGAUCACGUCGUAAUCUAUAAAAUGAAAGUUUUGUGUUUUUGACAUCAUUUGUAUUCGUAACUUUCAAAAGUCGCGGUCUA
rnacentral:lncRNA from 1 species